rnacentral:lncRNA from 1 species
GGCAGGAGGCAGUGCAGCUAUAGUCCUAUGAUAGCAUCACCAUCGAUGAUUGGACUAUCAUAUACCGAUGUUACGAGGAUCCAGCAUAUCAGGUUACAUAUCUAAAUUUUUUUAAAACUUUAAUGACUUAAUCAUUUAUUCUUAAAUUAAAUUUGUUAUCUACUAAUUUUACUGCUAAUUUUACAGAGACGAUGUGCCCAAAAUGCGACGAACUGGGUGAG